CCUGCUGAUGCGGACCUGGCUUGGCCUCCGGGGUGAAAGCGGCGUGCUACCGAACCGCGUCUGCCUUGUUCACUGCGGUGGACCGUGGACGCAGCGAAUCGCACACAUCCCGAGAACGCCACAAAUAGCUAACGAAUGAUGUGUGGAUGAGAACCCAGAUUUAACAGGCGCUCAGCUUGUGCCGGGCUUUGUUCUAAGCUCCUAGCGAGUGAAGAAAUGAGUGCACAUUAAGUGCCGCAAUGUAGGCCUGGUCCAGGUCGCCCUACAUAUGCUUACGUACCUUAUGUAUACGGAGGGCUAGGAACUGGAAUGAAGAGGCAGGUCACCAUCUGAGACACAGAAAUCCGCAGAGACCUGGAAGAUAAAGAGACUGCAUAUUGGCUGCACCGUGAGUCAGCACCAGCAUGGGAGACACUCAGGCAGCCAAGGGACUCAAACAUCUGCAACCUGGCUCCGAGCCAAGGAGACAGAUAACGGGCUCCAAAUUCCCAGUCCUGCACGAUGGGCUCAAAACUAAAAUCAUUUAUUAUUUCUAAGAGGAUGAAAAUCAGAAAAAACUGAGUAAUCCAUCUACAAGGAUUUAUAAAUGAACCGAAUGUCCUUGCUAUGUUUGUUGUAUUUAAUAUGUAAAAAGAAGAAGGUCAGUUGUGAUUAGGGGCUUUCUACACAGAGUGCUGACAUUCCAUGUGCAUUAUGCCAGAGGCUGGCCAGACUGCACCGGUGCUGAGGGUGAGAGGAAGCUCUCAUGGGGCCCUUUCUGCCUCCUGCCAUAGGCCUGAUCACACCCUGAGCUGAUCCAAGUGCAAUCAGUUUUUGCUGUUUGGAAGCCCUGGUGCCCUUCCUCCUCCAGAGCUCCCCUGGCAGGACACACUGCCCCUGUCCACCCUGAUGCUCAGGCCAAAGCCCCUGUCCACCCUUGAUGCCUCGCCUUCCUCCACGUGCCCAUCUGGUGCACCAGCGAACUCUCGGCUCUCCCAAGUACCUCUGAAAUCCUGCCUCUCCCACCUGCCCUGCUGCCUCAUUAGCUCCAAACCCCACCUGCCCCCCAGGACUGCUGCCUGAGCUGCCUGCAGGCUGUUCUCCACAGCAGAGGGACUGGUCUUCAUAAGGAUCUUCGGUGGCUCACUCCUCCCACCUCAACCCACGCUCAGGCCUCUGCUGAAGUCCUCCUGAGGGAGAGGAGGCCUGUUUGAACACCUUCUCCAAAAUAGCACCCCCACCAUGCCCCCCUUGCCUGGCUCUAUUUUUAUCCCCAGCUCUUUUCUUUGAAGUACACAUACUUGGGUUUUUAGUUCAUGAUCUCUGUCCCACAACUAGAACGCAGUUCCACMAGGGCAAGUUCCCUCUCCAGUGAGCUGCGCGCUCGUGGCCUGCACCAGCACUGACGAUGCUGCUCUGCUUGCCGGUCGUGUGAGUGCAAGAGCUAUUUGGGGCAUGAGUCAAUGAACAGGGUACUUCCAUCCCCAAGGGGAAUUACAGGGUGAGUCUAAGAGAACAGAGCCUAAUAAGAUACGCUCCUUGUGGGCUGUGGCGGUGGCUCAGCGGUAGAGCRCUUGCUUAGCACGCACACGAGGCCCUGUGUUAGAUCCUCAGUAGCACAUAAAAGUAAAUAAAUAAAAAUAAAGGUAUUGUGUCCAUCUACAACUAAAAAAUAAAUAUAUAUAAAAAAGAUAUGCUCCUUGRUGACCAAGCAAACACAGCAAAACUGGUUUGUAGAACCCCCCAUGGGUUACUUCUGUGAAAUUAAAGAUGUGCACUAAGCACAUUGACAUCACGUACCCAUCAGUCCCUGGUGGGAUCCAUCCCAGGCUCCCUAGUUUUUCUCCAUCCAUAGUUGGAAUGGCAACCAGGAUGCAUUUCUUCAAGACUUUGAAAAGAAGUGACACAAAUACAAAGGUCUUGAGGGAUAUCUGGAGAUUUGGGGGAUGCCUACGAUGGGUUGAAUUGUAUUCCUCCCAAAGACCUGAGCCCUGUAUCUGUGAACGUGACCUUAUGUGGAAACAGGGUCCUUGCAGAUGUCACUGAGUUGAGAUCAGUCUGGAUCAGGGUUAGCUCUACAUUCAGUGACCAAUAUUCUUCUCAGGAGAGGGAAAUAUGGACCCAGAUCCAUGAAUACACACAGGACGAGCACUGUAAGCUUGGAGAGAUGCAUCUGUAAGCCAAGGUACACCAAGGGUGGCCGGGACCCAGGAGAGAGGUUUGGAGCAGAUUCUCCCUCUGGACUCCUGUGGGAACCAACCCUGCAGACUUCUAGGCUCCAGACCUGGAGAAGAAUCCAUUUCUCAUGUUUCAGCCACGUGCUCUGGGGUGCUUUGCUACAGCAUCCCUAGGAAACCACCAGGGCUGCAUUCCAGGGGCAGCUCAGUACUUUGACCAGAGCGACAGUCGUACACCAUGGGAACUGUCAAGCAGGGAACUGAAAGAUCACGUGAUGGGAGAGGACUCCAUCUGCCAGGACAUGGAGUUGUCUGGGAUGUCCUGUGGCUGUGGGAUAAACCACUGUGCUCCCAGACAGAGUGGCAAAUCCAUCUGUCCUGCAUUCCUCACAAAACAGAAUGGGUCGAAGGCCUGUGCGUUUGAUGUGGCACGGAGACAGUGACUUUGGUAAGUCCCUCUGUGUGAUGGCUGUGGCUGCUCUCAGGGCCUGCAGGCCUGUGCUUUUCUCUGGAAACUUGUUGGAGUCCAGGGGGUCUCAGGAGAUGAACGGAUGGUGAGGAGUCACUGAAUGGCGGCGGAGAAACAACAGAGACACAAGAGGGAAGGUGUUGCAUCUGAUUCUUUACUUGUGAAGUUAAUCAUAUAUACUUUUCAUUUUGGGAGGCUCACAGUAUUUUGUGGUUACAAAACAGGAAUCAUUAUUCAAAGAAACAAAAUUUUACGCAGCUACAAUUAGAUAAGACGAAUGUCUCUUGGCUUAUGCAUAAGCAAGCAUUUUUACUUUCAGUUCGCAUUUUGCUUUGAGCUGUUUCUGCUUAGUUAGCUUUUAAUAAUAGUUAGAAAUGUCCCAGACUAUUGGCCUAUACCUUGAUUAUUCUUUCUUGACUUWCUGACUAGAACCGGCGCCCUGGUUAUGGCAAGUGGUUAACUUGAAA